rnacentral:rRNA from 1 species
UACGAAGGGGGCUAGCGUUGUUCGGAAUUACUGGGCGUAAAGGGCGCGUAGGCGGUGUGUCAAGUCAGGCGUGAAAGCCCCGGGCUCAACCUGGGAACAGCGCUUGAGACUGGCACGCUCGAGUUCGGGAGAGGAUGGUGGAGUUCCCAGUGUAGAGGUGAAAUUCGUAGAUAUUGGGAAGAACACCGAUGGCGAAGGCAGCCAUCUGGACCGACACUGACGCUGAGGCGCGAAAGCGUGGGGAGCAAACAGG